UACGGAGGAUCCAAGCGUUAUCCGGAUUUAUUGGGUUUAAAGGGUGCGUAGGCGGCCUAUUAAGUCAGGGGUGAAAGACGGUAGCUUAACUAUCGCAGUGCCUUUGAUACUGAUGGGCUUGAAUAUACUUGAGGUAGGCGGAAUGUGACAAGUAGCGGUGAAAUGCAUAGAUAUGUCACAGAACACCAAUUGCGAAGGCAGCUUACUAAAGUAUGAUUGACGCUGAGGCACGAAAGCGUGGGGAUCAAACAGG
rnacentral:rRNA from 1 species